GAGAAUGUACCCCUUAACAGUUUGGAACAAAUAAAAGAGCAAAGUAAUUUCAGGUGGUAAUAUAUAUCACCAAGAGGACAAGACAGAUGUUGUGCUAGAGAUCAACUGUGGGAGGGUGGGAAAAGUGCUAAUUUGGAUCAGGUGGUCAGGGAAGGCCUCACUGAGGAAAUUGCAUUUGAGCUGAGAUUUGAGUGGAUAAAGGAAAUGGCCCUGUGCAGACAGGAGGGCAGAGUGUAACAGGCAGAGGGAACAGCUGUGCAAAGUCCCUGAGACGUAUUCUAGAAACCAACCGCGGUGGGUCAGGAGGUUCAUGGCAGAAAGUGCAAUCAAAAAGGGCGUCUCAGGGUCUUGACCACCUCAAGCCAGGUGAGACACCUUACAGGAUGUCUCCUAAGCUGAUCAGUCUAUGAACAUUUAGUGACCUACAGAAUCUCCCUGUGACAUCUGUUCACUGGGCAACAGCAGCUCACAGGUACUGUUUGCAGGCAGCAGGUGCCAGCGACACCAGAGGCUUUCACCCCAAAACCAGUUCAUUUCAGGUCACACAUCUGUUCUUUCCUCUGAGAGACACCCACUGAGAAGGCUCUUCCGGCUUGGCAGUCCCAGGGGUAGGUGGUAAUCUCCUCCCCGAAUUUCCCAACAAGAAGAAAUUAACCAGUAGAAAAAAAGCUUGUACAAAGAAAGUAAGAGGAAAUUCAAUGGAGAUACCCAGAGGCUUGUGUGAUAGAGGAGAAGGAAAUGGGCAUUUUUUUUCUAGGCUUGGUAUAAAAUAAAGAUCAAUUCUUUACUUAAGGAUUGCUAUUAAAUAUUUAAGUCAACAGAGUUAGGUGCCUCUCAGAUUGAGACAUGAGGUCAGGGAAAGCCCUCCCUCUUAGAUGGACGCUACUCUCAUCUUAUUAAAGACAAGAACAGCCAAUGGGAAGGGGACUGAGACCCACAAUGGGGUCUCUGGGGUCCACAUUUCUAUUGAUAAAAAGAGCUGGAUUAUAGAAUCAAGUCAUAGUUGUCCUGGGCUUGAAUCCUCCUGGCAAAUUAUAACAUCUCUCUGAAUGAUCUUUCCUUGUCUGUAAAAGGAAGUCACAUAAAGAGAAGACUCUAGCAUGGAGAGAACUUGACAGUCUUGAUGUAUCUACAUCAUCCCAGAGUAAUUCACAGCACCCGCUUUUAUUCUGAAAGAUUUGUUCUGUCCUGUUUUCAGUGACAAAUUAUGUGGUCACCCUACCCUUGUCACAUGGGAUCUGGCCCCAGCUUGGGGGAUACUUGUUCACUGUGUUUCUGGUUGUCAGCAUGGGUGGAGAGAUGACAUCUGGUCAGAAGUCAUUCUCUGGCAGUUCUAUAAAGAAUGAUAAGUAUUAUUAUUGUAGCAGUAGUAUUAUUGUGUUAUGGCUAUCAUCAUCUUGUAUGGGGGAUAAAGAAUUUUGCUGAUAAAAGGGCCUGUGGUGUAGAAUCACCACUGCUAUUAUUUUGUUAAAUAUUUAAUUUUUCCAUAAGUUUUUGGGGGACAGGUGGCAUUUGGUUACAUGAGUAAAUUCUUUAGUGGUGAUUUGUGAGAUUCUGGUGCACCCAUCACCUGAGCAGUAUACACUGCACCCACCCUAUUUGUAGUCUUUUAUCCCUCGCCCCCUCCCAUCCUUCCCCCCAAGUCCCCAAAGUCCAUUGUAUUAUUCUUAUGGCUUUGUGUCCUCAUAGCUUAGCUCCCACAUAUCAGUGAGAACAUACAAUGUUUGG
rnacentral:lncRNA from 1 species